rnacentral:lncRNA from 1 species
GUUUUAGCCUUCAUUUCAAGGGCAGAAACUUCGGGAACAGGAGCUGUGGUAGCGAUGCUUCUGGAGUUUCUAUUCCCACAGCUAGAACCUAACUUUUCCAACAGAGGUCGCUGCUGAGCCCGCUUCUCCAUUCUCAGGUGUAUUGAGAAACCACAGGGACGCGUAAAGGCUGAGACUUGAGGUUCCCUAGCUGGCAAAAUUGAGUUGAAGACAACUAAGUUAGAGAGACCUCUUCAGGAAGGGGUACCAACCAAAAGAAAGAGCAUCCCCAGGAAGGAGCGCCUUAGGAAAGCCUUGGCAUGGUGGUCAAAUGCCCAAGCCGUGCCCUUGGACUGCCCUGACGUUGCAUCACAGCUCUGCCACUCACUGCCUACGUGAACUUGAGGGUCACCUUCUCUCGGCAAGCCACAUGCACUCUGGAAAGCCAUUCAGGGGCUGAAGAAUCAACGAUAUUCAG